rnacentral:tRNA from 1 species
UAUCUUUUAGCUCAAUUGGUAGAGCGUACUUUUUACAAAAGUAAUGUUGUCGGUUCAAUCCCGAUGAAGAUGACCA